rnacentral:tRNA from 1 species
GCGCCAUUAGCUCAGUUGGUAGAGCAGCUGACUCUUAAUCAGCGGGUCGAAGGUUCGAGUCCUUCAUGGCGUA